rnacentral:misc_RNA from 1 species
CCAAUUUUAGCGAACCUGAUCUUUUGGGUUAUGGUCUCGCGAAAAAACUGUAUUUAAAACCCCACUCUUUUAUACAAAAUGAAUCUAUUAUAUAAAUAAUAGAUAAAGA